GACAGAGGGUGCAAACGUUGUUCGGAAUUACUGGGCAUAAAGAGCACGUAGGUGGUCUGCUAAGUCACAUGUGAAAUACCCCAGCUCAACCGGGGAACUGCGUGUGAUACUGGCGGGCUCGAGGUCGGUAGGGGUGAGCGGAACUCCAGGUGGAGCGGUGAAAUGCGUAGAUAUCUGGAGGAAUACCGGUGGCGAAGGCGGCAUCCUGGACCAUUUACUGACGCUGAGGCGCGAAAGCUAGGGGAGCAAACGGG
rnacentral:rRNA from 1 species